GACGGUAUAGUUCAGUUGGUUAGAACGACGGAAUCAUAAUCCGUAAGCCGCGGGUUCGAAUCCCUCUACCGUUA
rnacentral:tRNA from 1 species